rnacentral:rRNA from 1 species
GUGUCAGCCGCCGCGGUAAUACGUAGGGGGCAAGCGUUGUCCGGAAUCAUUGGGCGUAAAGCGCGUGUAGGCGGCCCGGAAAGUCUGGUGUGAAAACUUGAGGCUCAACCUCAAGCUGUCACUGGAUACUAUCGGGCUUGAGUCCGGAAGAGGAGAAUGGAAUUCCUGGUGUAGCGGUGGAAUGCGCAGAUAUCAGGAGGAACACCAAUGGCGAAGGCAGUUCUCUGGUACGUGACUGACGCUGAGACGCGAAAGCGUGGGGAGCAAACAGGAUUAGAUACCCUGGUAGUCCACGCCGUAAACGAUGGAUGCUAGGUGUGGGAGGUGUCGACUCCUUCCGUGCCGAAGCUAACGCAUUAAGCAUCCCGCCUGGGGAGUACGGCCGCAAGGCUAAA